AUGGCCAGUAACCUGAAAUUUGUUAUUGGGGCACUGAAAAUAUUAAUAGAAGAAGAUCAGGGAUGUAGAAAAGACUUCCAAGCUAUCUUUGAGCAGGCUAACAUUUUUCAAGACAAAUAUAAAGACAUGAACACAUACAAAGUGAAUAUGGAACAGAAACCUGAUGAAUCAAAUAAAGAAGGCACAUUUUUACCAUUGGCCCCAGAAGAAGAAUUAUUACUAGAACAAUUUAAAAUAAAACCUAAAGAGAUAAAAAAUGAAGAUUUAUCACCAGGGCAAUUAUUAGCCCAAGGGGAUUUCAAUUCAGGUGAGAAAAAUGAGGCCCGGAGAAGAUAUUCAGAUAGUUACCUUCCCAGCUGUGACUUCAUGGCUUCUGGCUCUAAAAUCAAGGCCAAAGAGACCCCAAUAAAAAAAGAAAAAGAAGAAGAUGAAAUAGUAGUGGAGGAAGAGAUUAUUAGCACUGGAAAACCUACAGAGGGAAAGGCUAAAAAGAGAUUUUCCUGGUUCCGCAAUAUCAAAGAACGCAAGCUGUGGAACUUCUUUCAUUUUAAAAAACAUGACAAACAAGUAAAGAAUGUGCACAAGUGGGAAGAAAUUGAUCAAGAGGUAUUGGAAGAUUACUGUCCUUAUUCUACUGAAGCCCCUAAAACAUUGCCAACAGAGUGGACAAAUAUUGAAGUUGGUAAUUGGUUAUGGAGCAUUGGAAUGGAGGAGUAUGUUGUAAAAUUUUAUUGUAAAGGAAUAACUGGUGAAAAACUCCUUACACUGGACAAUCACUCGCUAAAAUGACCUGAAAUUUGUUAUUGGGGUACUGAAAACAUUAAUAGAAGAAGAUCAGGGAUGUAGAAAAGACAUCCAAGCUAUCUUUGAGCUGGCUAACAUUUUUCAAGACAAUUAUAAAGACAUUAACACAUACAAUGUGAAUAUGGAACAGAAACCUGAUGAAUCAGAUAAAGAAGGCACAUUUUUACCAUUGGCCCCAGAAGAAGAAUUUUUACUAGGACAAUUUAAAAUAAAGCCUAAAGAGAUAAAAAAUGAAGAUUUAUCACCAGGGCAAUUAUUAGCCCAAGGGGAUUUCAAUUCAGAUGAGAAAAAUGAGGCUCAGAGAAGAUAUUCAGAUAGUUACCUUCCCAGCUGUGACUUCAUGGCUUCUGGCUCUAAAAUGAAGAACAUAGAGACCCCAAUAAAAAAAGAAAAAGAAGAAGAAGAAAUAGUAGUGGAGGAAGAGAUUAUUAGCACUGGAAAACCUACAGAGGGAAAGGCUAAAAAGAGAUUUUCCUGGUUCCGCAAUAUCAAAGAACGCAAGCUGUGGAACUUCUUUCAUUUUAAAAAACAUGACAAACAAGUAAAGAAUGUGCACAAGUGGGAAGAAAUUGAUCAAGAGGUAUUGGAAGAUUACUCUCCUUAUUCUACUGAAGCCCCUAAAACAUUGCCAACAGAGUGGACAAAUAUUGAAGUUGGUAAUUGGUUAUGGAGCAUUGGAAUGGAGGAGUAUGUUGUAAAAUUUUAUUGUAAAGGAAUAAGUGGUGAAAAACUCCUUACACUGGACAAUCGCUCGCUAAAAGAAAUCGAAGUCAACAAGAAGAAAGACCGCCGGAAAAUACUUAAGGCUAUUAAGAAAGUUAGAGAUUUUUGGGAAAAAAAUCAUCAUUUCGUCUUAUUAUAGAAAUUGAUGGAAAGAAGACACAGAACCUGAAAGAUGGCAAAAAUGGAAAAUGCAAUUACUUUUGUUAUAUUGACUUUUCAUCAUUUUACUUCUGUUACUUUUGUUAUAUGAACUUUUAAGGGAUUUUACUUCCAUGUUACUUUUGUUAUAUGAACUUUUAAGGGAUUUUAGUUCCAUGUUACUUUUGUUAUAUGAACUUUUAAUCAUUUUAUUACUGUUACUUUUUUUAUUAUUAACUUUUAAUUAUUUCACUUUCAUGUUACAUUUGUUAUAUGAACUUUUAAGGGAUUUUACUUCCAUGUUAUUUUUGUUAUUAUUAACUUUUAAUCAUUUCACUUCCAUGUUACUUUUGUUAUAUGAACUUUUAAGUGAUUUUACUUCCAUGUUACUUUUGAUAUAUGAACUUUUAAGGGAUUUUACUUCCAUGUUACUUUUGUUAUAUGAACUUUUAAUCAUUUCACUUCCAUGUUACUUUUGUUAUAUAGAACUUUUAAGGGAUUUUACUUCCAUGUUAAUUUUGUUAUAUGAACUUUUAAUCAUUUUAUUACUGUUACUUUUGUUAUUAUUAACUUUUAAUCAUUUCACUUCUAUGUUUCUUUUGCUUUCUUAUUAACUUUUAAUUAUUUCAUUUUUAAGUAAGUAUUAUUUUGAUAGAGGAUAAUUUUUGCACAGGUUAAUAAUUGUUAAUAUCAUACAUAUAACAUAUGAAAAAAAUGGUUAUAAUAAGCACUUAUACUUUUUUAUAAGAACUAAUAUGGAAUUUCCCCCAUAUGAUCAUUUUGUAAGUAGCAAUCAUUCUAAUCUAACAAAAUUUUUAGUUAUUUUUCCUUUUCAACUUUUCAUUGCCACUGCCACCUGCUUUAAAGAAUCUGUCCCAAGUACUCUUUAUUAGUUCAUAAUCCCAGAGAACUCAAUAGGCUUUAGUCAAGCCCUCAUGAUGCUCUGUUACUUUUGUUUCAGAAUCUAUAUAUAAACAAAAGAAAUGCAUAUAAGAAUCUGUACAUAUUAUAGAUUUCCCUUAAGCAUACAUAUUGUUCAUGAGAUCUCCUUAUUACCUUACUUUUUUUUGUCAUAAUCCUCUCCAAAUCAUAUUUUAAGAGCUACAAAGUAUAGUUUUAUAUUCAUCACUCUCUUAUAGAAUUUAGUUUAAAUUUCUAUCAAAGUAUUUUAAAUAACAAUAAAAAUAACUUCAUAAAACUUUCCCCCUUAAAA
ensembl:lncRNA